AUUGAACGCUGGCGGCAGGCCUAACACAUGCAAGUCGAACGGAGUGGCGGCCGGGUGAGUAAUGUCUGGGAAACUGCCUGAUGGAGGGGGAUAACUAAUGGAAACGGGCGCUAAUACCGCAUACUAUCAGAUGAGCCUAGGUCGGAUUAGCUAGUUGGUGGGGUAAAGGCCUACCAAGGCGUCGAUCCGUAACUGGUCUGAGAGGAUGAUCAGUCACACUGGAACUGAGACACGGUCCAGACUCCUACGGGAGGCAGCAGUGGGGAAUAUUGGACAAGGGGCGAAAGCCUGAUCCAGCCAUGCCGCGUGUGUUAAGAAGGUCUUCGGAUUGUAAAGCACUUUAAGUUGGGAGGCGUUACCAACAGAAUAAGCACCGGCUAACUUCGUGCCAGCAGCCGCGGUAAUAC
rnacentral:rRNA from 1 species